UGAGAUGUUGGGUUAAGUCCCGUAACGAGCGCAACCCUUGUCCUUAGUUACCAGCACGUAAUGGUGGGCACUCUAAGGAGACUGCCGGUGACAAACCGGAGGAAGGUGGGGAUGACGUCAAGUCAUCAUGGCCCUUACGGCCUGGGCUACACACGUGCUACAAUGGUCGGUACAGAGGGUUGCCAAGCCGCGAGGUGGAGCUAAUCCCAGAAAACCGAUCGUAGUCCGGAUCGCAGUCUGCAACUCGACUGCGUGAAGUCGGAAUCGCUAGUAAUCGCGAAUCAGAAUGU
rnacentral:rRNA from 1 species